AAAAGACCCACAGCUUUUCCACGCGGUGCUUCAGGAACGGCCGCGCCCCCACGUGCUCUCGGGUGCAAUCCGUGCCAGAAGGAAGGAAGGGCAGCCUCGCUCUGACUGCACGCUAAACUAUAAAGGGACCUGCGCAGAAAGCUGAGGGUUCUCUUUUCGCUAUGAAGGGGAGCCCAAAGCAUCCGAGAGAACUCGUCACAGAAAAUAACUUGAUUAAAACCUGACUUUUAAAAGUGGCCAUGCGGACCAGCACGGUGAACACUCCCCUGACCAUGUCUUACUCAGAGCCUUAAGAAGAGUUGGAGGUGGAGCGGAGCUGUGGGGAGGGGCCCAGUGUCUCUCAGAACUUCUCAUUCUCCGGGCUUCCCUAGGAUGCAAUGGGUCAGAGCUCCCAGAUCUCUUAUGCCUCCAAACACAUUGAUU
ensembl:processed_transcript